GAUGAACGCUGGCGGCGUGCCUAAUACAUGCAAGUCGAGCGAACAGACGAGGAGCUUGCUCCUCUGACGUUAGCGGCGGACGGGUGAGUAACACGUGGAUAACCUACCUAUUAGACUGGGAUAACUUCGGGAAACCGGAGAUAAUACCGGAUAAUAUGUUCAACCGCAUGGUUCAAUAGUGAAAGACGGUUUUCCUGUCACUAAUAGAUGGAUCCGCGCCGCAUUAGCUAGUUGGUAAGGUAACGGCUUACCAAGGCGACGAUGCGUAGCCGACCUGAGAGGGUGAUCGGCCACACUGGAACUGAGACACGGUCCAGACUCCUACGGGAGGCAGCAGUAGGGAAUCUUCCGCAAUGGGCGAAAGCCUGACGGAGCAACGCCGCGUGAGUGAUGAAGGUCUUCGGAUCGUAAAACUCUGUUAUUAGGGAAGAACAAAUGUGUAAGUAACUAUGCACGUCUUGACGGUACCUAAUCAGAAAGCCACGGCUAACUACGUG
rnacentral:rRNA from 1 species